AUAAUAGAGACAUCUGCUGAUUCUAUAUUACAUGUAUGCUAGGUAUCUUAGGAGUAGUGUUUUUUAAAGGGAAUGUAUUAUUUCAUUAUAUUAUUUUAUAUUAGCCCGAGUGCUUAUGGAGACGGCCCAUGUCCUGGACUCUACAAAGGGUGUUGCCCCGAUUCAAGAUGGGAUCAGAGCAAAGAUAUGUGCAUAGAAUGUACGAUUGGCUUUGCUGGCAUGAACUGUACAAUGCCCUGUGAGUUUCCAUAUUACGGGGAAGAUGCGAUGGAGAAUGUUAUUGCAGCAAAAACAAUUGUGAUGAUGUCGAAGGUUGCCAAACAUUUACGAAGGGUAUUCAACUAUAUUUCAAUGUUGC